AUUGAACGCUGGCGGCAUGCCUUACACAUGCAAGUCGAACGGUAACGGGCCUUCGGGUGCCGACGAGUGGCGAACGGGUGAGUAAUGUAUCGGAACGUACCUUUCAGUGGGGGAUAACGUAGCGAAAGUUACGCUAAUACCGCAUAUUCUGUGCGCAGGAAAGCAGGGGAUCGCAAGACCUUGCGCUGAUUGAGCGGCCGAUAUCAGAUUAGCUAGUUGGUGAGGUAAAGGCUCACCAAGGCGACGAUCUGUAGCGGGUCUGAGAGGAUGAUCCGCCACACUGGAACUGAGACACGGUCCAGACUCCUACGGGAGGCAGCAGCGGGGAAUUUUGGACAAUGGGGGCAACCCUGAUCCAGCCAUGCCGCGUGAGUGAAGAAGGCCUUCGGGUUGUAAAGCUCUUUCGGCCGGGAAGAAAUCGUAUCAGCUAAUACCUGGUGCGGAUGACGGUACCGGCAUAAGAAGCACCGGCUAACUACGUGCCAGCCGCCGCGGUAAUAC
rnacentral:rRNA from 1 species